rnacentral:rRNA from 1 species
UACAGAGGUGCCAAGCGUUGUUCGGAUUUAUUGGGCGUAAAGGGCGCGUAGGCGGCCACGCGUGUCUUUCGUGAAAUCCCUCGGCUUAACUGAGGACGUGCGGAAGAAACUGCGAGGCUCGAGUCCGGGAGAGGGGGGUGGAAUUCCCAGUGUAGCGGUGAAAUGCGUAGAUAUUGGGAGGAACACCGGUGGCGAAGGCGGCCCCCUGGACCGGUACUGACGCUGAUGCGCGAAAGCGUGGGUAGCAAACAGG